GCAAAUCACCAGAGCAAGUAACAACAUUAAUAAGUCUCUAAACAAAAUUAAGGACAUUGCUCGAUAUUAAUGAGGUCACCUCUGUGACUGCCUACAAUGGACGGCAUUUUACGGCUGCAUCUAAUGAAGAUACUGUGGACUGGUUGGCGAGAUCUUGGGGCCAUAUGA